CAAAAAGCAUAGGGGCGACUCACCUAACACCAUUGAAUCUCAUAUUAAACUUCCAAAUAUACUAUAUAACGAAAAGAACACGCUAAAAAAGUAGUACAAUCAUUAUAUGCAAGUUCUUCUACCUUUAGGCACAAUGAGACUCGCUCUGUUUCUUCAAUGUCUCUGCCUAGCGCUGCUUCUGAUUCAUCCCUCCGUUUUAGGUCACAAAAAUUUUUAAAAUUUGAUAUUUUAGUCUCACAAGUUUUAAAAUACACUAAAUAAUCUUCGAAAAUUACUUCUAACAAUUUAAUUCUUAACCAAUUUUUACUGUUUGUCAAUAAUUUUGUCUGCUGAUGUAGAACCUUAAACUUACACACAUGACCAUACUUGAUUUGGUGAUAAUUACAUAUAAUCUACAAAGACACUUCAGAUGUUGUCCCUGGCUUAACCCUUUGUUAUCGGCAACAUCGUAAUUGGCCUUCUCUUUGCAACGGCUAGAACAAGCUAAACGUUAUCCACUGCUGGCCAUUAAAACAACGGCAGCUAUAGGAGAUGAAAUAGGGUUUUUCAUUCUCCGUCGCAACAUGCUUAAAGAGGAGAGUGGAGAUUGGGUUUAAAAUAAUGCCGUUUUCUUAAAUAAGUUCAGGGACUAAAUUGUCCAUCUCGUACACGUAGAUACUUAAAAGUCAUGUGUAUGUACGUUAACAUUUUACAUCAGCAGUCAAUGUUAUUGACAAAUAACAAAAAUUGAUCGGGACUAAAUUGUUUAAUGAAAAUAAAUUUUAGAGACUA